rnacentral:rRNA from 1 species
GAUGAACGCUGGCGGCGUGCCUAAUACAUGCGAGUCGAGCGAACGGACGAGAAUCUUGCUUCUCUGAUGUUAGCGGCGGACGGGUGAGUAACACGUGGAUAACCUACCUAUAAGACUGGGAUAACUUCGGGAAACCGUAGCUAAUACCGGAUAAUAUUUUGAACCGCAUGGUUCAAAAGUGAAAGACGGUCUUGCUGUCACUUAUAGAUGGAUCCGCGCUGCAUUAGCUAGUUGGUAAGGUAACGGCUUACCAAGGCAACGAUGCAUAGCCGACCUGAGAGGGUGAUCGGCCACACUGGAACUGAGACACGGUCCAGACUCCUACGGGAGGCAGCAGUAGGGAAUCUUCCGCAAUGGGCGAAAGCCUGACGGAGCAACGCCGCGUGAGUGAUGAAGGUCUUCGGAUCGUAAAACUCUGUUAUUAGGGAAGAACAUAUGUGUAAGUAACUGUGCACAUCUUGACGGUACCUAAUCAGAAAGCCACGGCUAACUACGUG